rnacentral:rRNA from 1 species
GACGAACGCUGGCGGCGUGCCUAAUACAUGCAAGUAGAACGCUGAAGGAGGAGCUUGCUCUUCUGGAUGAGUUGCGAACGGGUGAGUAACGCGUAGGUAACCUGCCUGGUAGCGGGGGAUAACUAUUGGAAACGAUAGCUAAUACCGCAUAAGAGUAGAUGUUGCAUGACAUUUGCUUAAAAGGUGCAAUUGCAUCACUACCAGAUGGACCUGCGUUGUAUUAGCUAGUUGGUGGGGUAACGGCCCACCAAGGCGACGAUACAUAGCCGACCUGAGAGGGUGAUCGGCCACACUGGGACUGAGACACGGCCCAGACUCCUACGGGAGGCAGCAGUAGGGAAUCUUCGGCAAUGGACGGAAGUCUGACCGAGCAACGCCGCGUGAGUGAAGAAGGUUUUCGGAUCGUAAAGCUCUGUUGUAAGAGAAGAACGAGUGUGAGAGUGGAAAGUUCACACUGUGACGGUAUCUUACCAGAAAGGGACGGCUAACUACGUG